rnacentral:rRNA from 1 species
GAUGAACGCUAGCGAUAGGCUUAACACAUGCAAGUCGAGGGGCAGCACAAGGUAGCUUGCUAUCUGGGUGGCGACCGGCGCACGGGUGCGUAACGCGUAUGCAACUUGCCCUAUACAGGAGGAUAACCCGUCGAAAGACGGACUAAUACUGCGUAUGCUCACAACUUGGCAUCAAGUGGUGAGGAAAGAAAUUCGGUAUAGGAUAGGCAUGCGUCCCAUUAGCUUGUUGGUGAGGUAACGGCUCACCAAGGCAACGAUGGGUAGGGGAACUGAGAGGUUUAUCCCCCACACUGGUACUGAGACACGGACCAGACUCCUACGGGAGGCAGCAGUGAGGAAUAUUGGUCAAUGGGCGCGAGCCUGAACCAGCCAAGUCGCGUGAAGGAUGACUGUCUUAUGGAGUGUAAACUUCUUUUAUACGGGAAUAACAAGAGUCACGUGUGACUCACUGCAUGUACCGUAUGAAUAAGCAUCGGCUAACUCCGUGC